rnacentral:misc_RNA from 1 species
UCCGGGGUUUCCCCGGCAGUCUCACAUGAGUGCUCGGCAUUAUCCGGUGGCAACAUGUGACAGGGGUUGCGCUCGUUGCGCCACUUAAGGCAACACCUCACGGCACGAGCUGACGACAGCCAUGCAGCACCUGUGCAGGCUCCCGAAGGAGCGCCGGCUUUCACCGGCUUCACCCUGCAUGUCAAGCCCUGGUAAGGUUCUUCGCGUUGCGUCGAAUUAAGCCACAUGCUCCGCCGCUUGUGCGGGUCCCCGUCAAUUCCUUUGAGUUUUAGCCUUGCGGCCGUACUCCCCAGGCGGGGUGCUUAAUGCGUUUGCGACGGCACGGAGAGGGUUGAUGCUCCCCACACCUAGCACCCAACGUUUACGGCUAGGACUAC